GGGCCCGUAGUCUAGCUUGGAUUAGGAUACCGGCUUGGGGUGCCGGCGACUCGUGUUCAAAACGCGCUGAAACUCACGACGGGCCCACCA
rnacentral:tRNA from 1 species